rnacentral:rRNA from 1 species
GACGAAGGGGGCUAGCGUUGUUCGGAAUCACUGGGCGUAAAGCGCACGUAGGCGGAUAUGUCAGUCAGGGGUGAAAUCCCGGGGCUCAACCUCGGAACUGCCUUUGAAACUGUACGGCUUGAGGCCGGGAGGGGGUAGCGGAAUUCCCAGUGUAGCGGUGAAAUGCGUAGAUACUGGGAGGAACACCAGUGGCGAAGGCGGCUACCUGGACCGGUUCUGACGCUGAGGCGCGAAAGCGUGGGUAGCAAACAGG